rnacentral:rRNA from 1 species
GACGAACGCUGGCGGCGUGCUUAACACAUGCAAGUCGAACGGGCCUUGUCCCCUUUUUUUUUGGGGGUGGGGUUAGUGGCGAACGGGUGAGUAACACGUGAGUAACCUGCCCCUCACUUCUGGAUAACCGCUUGAAAGGGUGGCUAAUACGGGGUGUUCUGGCCUGCUCGCAUGGGUGGGUUUGGAAAGAUUCGACCGGUGUUGGUUGUUUUGGUGGGGGAUGGGCUCGCGGCCUAUCAGCUUGUUGGUGGGGUGAUGGCCUGCCAAGGCUUUGACGGGUAGCCGGCCUGAGAGGGUGGGCGGUCACACUGGGACUGAGACACGGCCCAGACUCCUACGGGAGGCAGCAGUGGGGAAUAUUGCACAAUGGGCGCAAGCCUGAUGCAGCGACGCCGCGUGAGAGAUGGAGGCCUUCGGGUUGUGAACCUCUUUCGCCAGUGAAGAAGGUCCUGCUCUUUGUGGUGGGGUUGACGGUAGCUGGGUUAAUGAAGCGCCGGCUAACUACGU